rnacentral:lncRNA from 1 species
GAUUUUGUGUACACUUCAAAUGCAUGACUCAAAGAUUGUAAACAUUCUGUUUUACAGGUGUGUGGUUACCAUCUAAGGCUUCGUUUAGAUGGUUAUUUAAGCUGCUACGAUUUUUGGACCAAUGUUGGCUUCCCUGACGUCCAUCCAGUGGGGUGGUGUGAGAAAACCAAACAUGACUUAUACAUCCCUCAGGCGAUGCACCAUGGUUUUCUACUGAAUGUGAAACCGGAAGAUGUGGGUAAGCGAAACCCCAGGUGAAUUUGCUUGCUGCAAUUAUGGAUUUUGACGACCAAAGAAAAAAGUGCUUUCGGCUGUCUGUGUUCGGACAGGAACUUGAAAAAGGAGGCAACGCUUCAGAAUCGUCUGAGAGAACAAACACAGGCAAAAAAAGUGGAAUCAGGCUCUGCACAUUCCGUAUCGAAAAAUCGCUAUAGCUUGAACUUCAGUAGAAGACUCCAGAAGGUGAACAACCAGUUCAGGUAAGGAAGCCUUAAAAAUGUGAAACAGAGAGUAAAGCAUGUAGAAGAGAAAAGGACAAACUUGUUGCUGAUAAUAAUUCCUUAUGUUUCUUCAAAAUCUUUUUUUUUUAAUUUCUGGAUAAUAUUAUGUUCACUAGCUCGUAGAAUUCAUCUGAGUCUUGACACUUCAUUUUUAAAAUAUUUUUACUUACUUCACCCUCAGUAAUGUG